GAACGCCGAAGGUGAGCCUUCUGGGACUGGGAGGUCCGGGAAAUUUUGAAAUCUGAUACUUCUCAGAGCCCCGAAAAUGCAAUAAAACCUGAUAGUUUCUCUUAAAAAUGUCUUGAACGACUCUUAAGCAAGUCAUUAUAUACGGGUAAAUUUAUUCGCUUAGUAUAUUUUCCUUCAAUAGAGUUCUUUCUUCGAAAUGUAAUGCCUUAUUUAAGCGUAAUUUAAAUUGCAGUUUCCAUACUUAUCGUCCUUACCUUUCUUAGAAAUUGUUUUUUCUGGAAAGUGCGCGCCCACUAAUACAUAACAAGAAAAUAAUAAAUGGAAACAAAAACAAACACCUGUCCAGCGUGCUAAUGAAGACUGAACUAAUCUACAUAAUUAUGUGCAAGGAAUAAUGAAUGAUAGUCCAAACUAAUUAUAAUUCAAAAGUCUGACUAAUUCUGCUGG